AACGAACGCUGGCGGCAGGCUUAACACAUGCAAGUCGAGCGAGAUCUUCGGGUCUAGCGGCGGACGGGUGAGUAACGCGUGGGAACGUGCCCUUUGCUACGGAAUAGUCCUGGGAAACUGGGGGUAAUACCGUAUACGCCCUUUUGGGGAAAGAUUUAUCGGCGGAAGGAUCGGCCCGCGUUGGAUUAGGUAGUUGGUGG
rnacentral:rRNA from 1 species